UUCGAAGUUGUUGGCCUAAGAACAUGUGAAGUUUUGAAGAUUAACAAAAGAACUCAGACAUGGACCAGGUCCAUCUUGUGAAGCACAUCUAUAAUCAACCUAUACAUGUCAGAUGCACGUGAAGGAGAUAAAUCCUACUUAUCAAGCAGCAAUAUCUCCUGAUCUGAUCGAAAAGGUUGCAUAUUAAAUAAGGAAAGAAAGUCUCCUUAUAUGAAGAGAACACAAUCUAGGAUGAAAAUAGUGUUAAAAUUUGAGAUUGUCAUGAACUCUUCCAUGUUAGAAGAGCAGCAAUUGAAUCCCAAUCAAACUCUGAUUACUAACAUAUUAAAUAUCAGUGUUAUUCUCUUUUACGGUUAAUGCACAUAUGCAGAAGUUAAACAAAAAUUAAGAGCAAAAGAGAAAGGCAAUUUUUCAAGCAAUUUAUGUGUGAUUUGAGUGUGCACUCCUGAAGCUACUUGAACGAGAUAGAAGAACCAGUUCCAAGUGUCUAUCUUUUAUUCAAGUUCAAUUAUAGUAGAUGAUUUUACAUUGUACCUUUAACUUUCAUAGAAGAAAUUGUAUUAGGUAUCUAGGGUAUUCAAGUUAGAAUUAACUUAAAGUUGUCGCAGCAGUUGAGGUUGUGUGCCACAAUGGGAUUAGAGUUAAUACUUAGGUUUACAAAGAGAUUUGUAAAUGCUAUUUUGGCUCAGCGAUAUUAGUGGAAGUUUAGGAAAAUCCUACUGAGUAGUAGGUCGUGAUUUUUUGACCUUUUGAGCCGGUGUUUUCCACGUAAAAAUAUUUAUGUUCUUUAUUUUUAGUAAUUAUUAUUUCGCAAAAAAGUAGUUGUUGGAACACUUAGAAUAACCAUGUUCUUUUAUAGUUUGUUAAGCGAAAAUUAGGUACCACACAAAUUACCCCUCCCCCUUCUCUUGUGUGGUAUUGACACUCAAAAUAUCAAUUGGGUAUCAGAGUGGGUUAUCCUUGAAGAGGUUAACACCUUCGAAAAAUAUCAAGAUGAGUGCACCACCUGGAAACUGGGAAGGGCAAUUCACUGCUAGGCCUUCACUCUUUAAUGGUCAUUACUAUUCUUGGUGGAAGAACAUGAUAAGAGAUCAUAUCAUAUGAGAGGUCUGUGAACUUUAGGACAUAGUCACUGAUAGUCCUUUGGAAACUACAAAGAAGAAUGCUGAAGGAGUGGACGUGCCAAAGACAAGAGUUGACUGCACUGUUGAAGAUUUGAAGAAGUGGGAGAAGAAUGCCAAGGCCAAAAAUGCCUUGUGUCUGGAUUGGGUCCAGAUGAGUACAGCAGGAUUCAAAGUUGUAUCACUACCAAAAAGAUAUUACAAGUGGGUCAUGAAGGAACUCCUCAAGCAAAGACAUCUAAGUAUGAUGGAAGGAGAAAAUAUCCAGGAGAUGUACACAAGGUUCACAAUAUUAACAAAUGAACUUAAAUCUCUUGGGAGAAUUAUCCUUGAAGAAACAAGGUUUAGAAAAUCUUGACAAGAGUUUUACUAGUGACUUGGGAAAGCAGAAUCACUGCUAUUCAGGAAUCCAAGAACAUUGCUACCCUUAAGUUAGAUGAACUAAUUAGAAAUCUCACUGCCUAUGAACUGAGGAAGCAAACCAUGACAAUGGAUGCAUCCAAGAAGGAAAGAAGUCUUGCUCUUAGAACAGCUAAAGGUGCAUAUCUGGAGGAUGAUAAAGUGGCUAUGAUCACAAAAUAUUUCAAAAAGUACCUAAUAAAAGGAAAAGGAUUUUCAAGAGGUACAAACUCCAACAAACCAAGGGCUCUUGAGAAACAUACUAACAAGGGUUGCUACAAAUGUGGUAAGACAGAUCACAUAAUCAAAAACUGUCCUCAGUUGGAAAUUGAAUGGAAGAAUGAAAUGGCUGAACAAAGGAACAAGAAGAAGGAACAGGUUCAACCCAAAAGGAAUAAAGGAUCAACAAAGGCCAUAGUUGUUGAUUGGGGAGAAACCUCAAACGAGGACUCAGAAGAUGAAGCUGGAGAUGAACAAGCACUUAUGACCAACAGAGAAUUAGAUGAUGAACAAGAGGUAACUGUCCUUCUUCUCAAAGACAAGAUUAAAUUUCUAUCUAAAGAAAAGUUGUCUGAACUAUUGUUAGACUUCAUUGAUGACUCUGAGAUAAUUAACAAUAAGAAGGAUUAUCUGUCUAGGGAGUGUGCAAUCUUAAAAGCCAAGUGCAAAAAUCUAGAAUCUAGGGCUAAUAAGAGUGACAGUAAAAAUGCUGAGUUGAAGAGCCAGGUUCUUGAACUUGACACCAGUGUCCUAGAGCUUAGGUAUGAAAAUUUAAAACUGAAACUAGGAACAUGAAAGAAGAAAGUUGAUCUCACACACCUCAUCUUAGAAGAAAACUUAGGAAAAAUGAAAGGUGAAUUGUACAGGACGGAUGAGCAGAUAAGAGUUUUAAAAGAAGACCUAGGGAAGGUAAAGCAUGAACUAGACAGAACUUGCAAAUGGAAUAAGGCUUCUGAUGCACUAUCAUGGCUGCAAGGACAUCACAGUAGCAACAAAAAAGGACUUGGCUAUAGGACUCAAGCACUUAAGUGGGACCCUAAAAGCAUGUACCUCAUUCUUCCUAAAAACAAAAUUUACACACACUGUGACAAGACUAGUCAUUACAAAAAUGAAUGUAAUGUAAAAGAAAAGGCUAGUCAAAAGAACAAAGCUUUUGUUCAAGAAAAAAGUAGGUUGCCUGGGUGGGCAAAAAGGAUUUUAAUUGACCCAUUUGCCUAUAGAAAAGGACCCAUACUAGUUUGGGUUCCUAAGACUAACCCUUGAUUUUCUUUUGCAGGUCCAAGUGAAGGAAAGCAGCCAAAUAUGGUACAUGGAUAGUGGCUACUUAAAACAUAUGAUUGCAAGCAAGAACUAGUUCCUUUCACUUGAGGACUUGAAAGGAGGUAAUGUCUCCUUUGGAAAUGGGAAGAAAGGUGAGGUCAUUGGGGUUGGAAAGGUAGGUAGCAUAUAAUCUCACUUCAUUGAGAAUGUCUACUUGAUAGAUGGCUUAAAGUAUAGCCUAAUCAGUGUCAAUAGGUAAGACAGACUCUCACUCCAUUGAGAAUGUUUACUUGAUAGAUGGCUUAAAGUAUAGCCUAAUCAGUAUGUUACACUGUAUGAUAGAUGUAACCUUGUAACAUUUACAUCUACCAUUUGUGAUUAACCUUACUACUUGUCACACCUCCUUUUGGCUACUACAGCCCGGCGAAGGGCGUAGAUAAGGGAGUUUUUCCAAUUAAAAACAAUCGAAACGGGAUUAAUUAUUAAAAAUCAGAGUCGCCACUUGGGAUAAUUUAUGGUGUCCAAAGUCACCGGUUUAGAAUCCCGAAUCAAGGAAAAAAGCGACUUUGUUUACAGUCCGCGAUCGAGAAAUUCGAGUAAGAAAUGAUGUUAACCUGGGAGAAGGUGUUAGGCACUCCUGAGUUCCGUGGUAAUAGCACGGUCGCUCAACUGUUAUAUUUGACUUAAAUUAUCUGAUUUUUUACAAUUAUGAACCUAUGUGCAUAAUUUAAUUUUUAGUCACUUUUAUUAUUAUUAUGAUAAUUCUUAAAGAAAAUUGCAACGUCGUUAAAACAUGCCUCGAACCACGCCACAUAAAUACACCCGUAGUUUUUAACACAUUUCAACUUCGUUGGGAUUUGGAUUUGGGUCACAUAGAUGUGCACCCAAAUUUAGGAAAGUAAUAUUAUUAAACACGCACCUAAAGAAACUACGCAUUCGCACUUUGUGAGGGCCAUAGAAUUCGCUAAAUGGUACGCCUCGAAUUCUAAGGAUCAAAAUGUCAAUUAAAUGAGGGCCGUGCAUUUUAAAAUUUUAUUUGGCACGGCGCACCUUAAAAUUAUUCGACUAAUUUUAGUAGCUAUGUUUACUCACUUUUAAAGCUAAUUCGAAAUUAAUCAUUGCGACUACGCCACGGAAACCGUACCCAUAAUAACAAUGCUUCUUAGAUUGCAAUUGAACAGUGAAAUACUUUUAAGAGCAAGCAUGAUUCGAAUUAACAAGAAUACGAACUACAAGCUACCUAAGUUUGACGCCAAACAAAAAUGAAUUAAAAAGAAAACAUUGCAGGCACUCCUAAAUUCAAAAGCACUGUGAUGCGUGAGUCCGCGUACCCUCCACCCACGAGCAAAAAUAGUAACUCCAAUCACCCAAAUUGUAUCUACUACAUUAGAAAUAUCCAUCGUAUAAUUGCUAAGCCCAUCAAUGAAGACAACAGUUUGCAUUAGGCAGUUAUUCAUAUGGAAGAUAAACUAGUCACCCACCUUUUACUAUUCCAUAAAAUUUAUCACCUUCAAGCUUCAGUGUUAGUUUCAAAAUUUCAGUCCCUAUGCCUUCUUGAUGUAGAAAUGAAAACAGAUAAUAAUGAACCGCUUGUGUUAUGGUUUAACAUCGAAUCGAACCAAAGCAUAGGCAGCGACAGAGACGAGUGCAAGACAUUAUUCUAGAAAUUAUUGUGAGGAAGAGGCCGACUUACUCGUUCCCGAGUGAACUUCGACAAAUCAAAUGAGAACAAAACAAUACUAUAUCAUUACUCUUAAGUCUCAAUCACAUCAAAGCAAAAUUUAUACUGCAUCAACAGUAGCUAAUAGAUCUAUUAUCCUACUAAUGAGUCAAAUCGUUUUAUCUGUACAUCAUAACAAAUUGGUUUUCAAGUCUAAAGUAGACCCAUGUCAUGUCAUUGCUUCCAAGAAUCCAAAGUUCAAAUCCAAGCAAAUUUGCUGCUUAAUGUAGAAGCCUACCAACCAACGAACUAACUUAUCAAAUUAAAAAUGAGUUCAUAUAUCAGUUACUUUAGUGGCAUAAGCACAUGCUUGUUUUAUCCAAUAAAAUUCCUAGUAUCCAUGAAUUGAACAGUUCAUAGACAAAAAACAAAAUCUUACACAUAACUAUUAUUACUAAUUAACAUAAAAGGGUGCUAACACACAGCUAGUAACAUUUAGAAUCAAACGUUCACGAACAAGAGUGAAGAAGAAAAAUAUAAAGAAUAAAAAUAAUAAAAUUGAUACCAAAAGAUAAGAAAGAAUCGAACCUUUUUUUGUAUUCAAUAAGAAUGUCAGAUCAAAUCCUUAACAAAGCAGUUGUGAGGGGGAAUGAAAAUCCAGAAAUUGAUGCUGAAAACUUGAGAAAAAAACAGAUCUGGACCCGACCAAAGAACCUCCAAAACUUCGAACAUUCACCUCAGCUAGUCUCAACGAAGAACUCGACCAAUCCGAAAACAAGAAAGUUGGAAAUUAAAACAAACAAAACCCAUAACUUCCUCUCAUCUGAGUUCUCUUACUGUACACGUGCGUGUGUGAGUUACGGCGUUUCCGGCGAGUUCGCCGCUGUUAAAGAAGAAGAAACUGAUGUGGGUGUGAAGAGAAGAAGAUAAAGGGGUGCUGUUUGGACGAGGGGCCGCUUUCAGUGUUCAGCCACUGCUCAAGGAUCUUACGGACGGUUACUUCAUUUUGCCAUGGAGAGAAGCUGGUCUUCUCUUGGAGAUGAAGACCGAAUGGAGAAGUGGGGUCCGUUCUUUGUGAAAAUGCGGCGCUCAAUUUUAGAAUCCUCGCCAAAGCUGCGCUACUCUUUUCUUGUGUUCUCAGGCGUGUAUCUUGUUUUCUCUGUAUGUAUGGUCGUCGGAUUCCGGCGUGGUGAGGGUGAAGAUCAAAAUCUAGUGGGUGGGGGUCCUUGUGUAUCGUCUAUGCUGCCUCCAAAGGUUAGAGAAGAUAACCUCUCCUCCGGACUGCAGCUUCUUUUGUUGUCUAUCUAUCAGCGUGUCUGUAUUGUAUGUGUAAUAGGUCUAGGUUUUUUUCACGAGAAAUGAGUUUGGG
rnacentral:lncRNA from 1 species